GCACAAUUACAUCAAUAAUUAGUGUUAAUUUUCAUAAUGUAAUCUAAAAAAGACAAUUUUUUUAAAUAAAAGAAAGUUAAUUUUCCAUAAUAAAUAUACUGUUGAUGAAAUAGAAGUGACCACAUCAAAUAUUAAAGCAAUGGGAGGGAUAGAAAUUCAAUUCCAGAUCCCACACUUCCAUGUUUCACCUUAUAGAUUAUUGGCCAGUCCAAUCAGGAUGUAGGCAGUGCAUGAUAGACCUUGGAAUUGCCCUAUUGUUGAAUAAUCUUUGAUUGGAAAGUAGCAUAAAAAUUAGAAUGAAAGAAAGAAAUGUCUCCAAUAAAAGCUGAUACCUGCUAUUGUUUACCAAUUUCAAUAAAAUAUUCUUUGCAUGAAAAUACACAGGUAUACAAGUACAAGAAUACAAGUAGUCCUCUACUUAUAACAAUGAAGAAAUCGAUUAAUUCUGUGAUGGGUCAAUACAAUGUAAUGUGUUUGUCUAGAAUUGGAUCUAGAAUUGAAUCCAAAACUUCAACUUCAGGUUGUAAGACAACACUUUAUAAUGCAGCCAUCCUGCACACAGGAGGGAUGAACUAGAUUGUGGAAAACUGACAAUUGAGCUAGGAUCUUUCAUAUAUAAUUUUCUGGAUUAGGAUUUGAUUCUGAUUUUAUGGGAGAAAAGCCAAAACCAUUUCACAUGAAUUCAGCUGAGUGUGUUUUAUAUUGAAAUUUGGCAGAAUACAUCCCACAUGC
rnacentral:lncRNA from 1 species